AAAAAGAUCAGCUAAGUAAGCUAAUGGGUUCAUACCCCGUAUAUAAAGGUUUAAAUCCUUUUCUUUUUA
rnacentral:tRNA from 1 species